rnacentral:rRNA from 1 species
CCGGCGCGGCAAGCGCCAAGGAAAACAAAAAUAGAAUCGUUGCCCCUUUGGCUCCCGUCCGCGGUGUGGCCAUGGGGAUGCAGCGUAUCUUGAAAGUCUAAACGACUCUCGGCAACGGAUAUCUCGGCUCUCGCAUCGAUGAAGAACGUAGCGAAAUGCGAUACUUGGUGUGAAUUGCAGAAUCCCGUGAACCAUCGAGUCUUUGAACGCAAGUUGCGCCCGACUCCUUCGGGCUGAGGGCACGCCUGCCUGGGCGUCACGCAUCGCGUCGUCCCCUCCCAUUCCCUCACGGGUUUGGUUAUGGGACGGAUAAUGGCUUCCCGUUAGCUCGGUUAGCCCAAAAAGGAUCCCUCAUCGACGGAUGUCACAACCAGUGGUGGUUGAAAGAUCAUUGGUGCUGUUGUGCUUCACCCUGUCGCUUGCUAGGGCAUCGUCAUAAACUAACGGCGUGUAAUGCGCCUUCGACCGCGACCCCAGGUCAGACGGGACUACCCGCUGAG